UGAUUGGCGUAGACACGGUGCCUAUACCACGUGACUUUUUAAGAUCUGUGUGGGGAGUAAAAUAUCAACAAAAGCGCGACGAAGGUAUGGCUCAAUGCUCCGAAUGCGGAAAAAUGUCGAAGACCAGAGCUGGAUUAUUGCGCCACAUUAGGGGACACGCUAACUCUGGAAACUAUAACUGCUGUGGGAAAGCAUUUCAGGAUGCCUACAAUCUUAGAAGGCUUCAACGAACAAAGGACCCCAAUGUCACGUGUGUGUACAGUGCGGCAGGAGCUUUGCGGACAAGUACCUACUCGUGGCUAGAGAGAAAAGUGCAAAAAAAGAGGGAUUGGUGAAAUGUUACCAGUGUGGGUUGGCAGUUAGGAGUGAGAAUGACCUCAGAGAGCACGUCAAUACCCACAUGCAUGACAAGUGUUACAGUAGUGAGGAGUGUUUCAAAACGUACAAACGCAAAACAAACCUUUCUCGAUACGUGAGGACUUCACAUAAAUCCGUGAAUAAUGAUUAAAAAUCAUAAUUGUUUACAGUUUGUCUGUGUAACUUCAUUAUCGUUUUACGUUAUUUUAUUCGUUGUUUUACUUUUACUUUACUUUUCAAAAUGAUUCUAAAGUUAUCCGAAUUUGAUUAAUUUUUAGGUUUCGUUUAGUUUGUUUGUGAGUUUGAAAUCAUUCUCAAAUAAUUGUUCAAUAAUUUGGAUUUACGUUAUUCAUUAAUAUAUCGCAUCUGUGAUUUGUAUAAUCGAAUCUGUGAUUCUUUUUUAAUUAUAACUUGAUUAAAGUUUUGCGAUG